GUGUGUGUAUCUAUCUGGAGAUCGAUCAGGACAGGGAGGAACAAAGGGUUUAACCCUAAUUGCUAAUUCAGCCAAAUUAGGAGGAAAUCUCAAAGCUAAUUCAUUGCAUGAACUCAAGUUUCGAUCAUCUAAGCUAAUAUAGCUGAAUGGCGUGAAGGAAGAGGGUUCAAGUACUAAGAAAUCGGAAGGCUCACAGGAUCGAGGAUGAAAUCUUGUCAAUUGACUCAAGCAUGGAUGGCAAACAUGGUAAGAGGAAGCGAUGAAGCAAGCAUGAACAUGGACGCUAAAGUUUGGAAAGCAUUAACCGUCGCAAAGUAUGAAUAACGAGUCAAAAGAUUUGACCCGCGCCAGGUACGUAUAAAAAGAUUAUAUUUUCAAUAAGAGCUUAGGGCUCGAUUAGAGACUGACGUGUCAGAACAAGAUAACUGAUACCCAUAUGUAAGAAUGUAUUUACAAUUAGACUUCCGAAAAGUCAAACGAAGUAAAUGAAGUCCUUGCAAUAAUGCAAGUAUAAGGUACGAACGUGUACCCCGAUGCGACCACAAUAAGUAAGGGGGAUGUUAGUCCGACCUUAAAAAGGUCAAACUGCAAAAGUCGACGAAAUAACCAAUAAAAUGAAAUGAUAGUAUGUAAGGAAUGGAAUGUAUGAUAUGUUUUAACAUGUACAUAAGAAAAUUGUGAAAGAGACAAUCGGCGACCAAACACCCUGUGGGACGCAAAUAUGAAAGGUUAUGUGCUAACUAUUAUUUAUAGAUAAAUAUGAUGAAAUUCUUAGCGAGAUGAUAGUAAUGAAGCUAGUGGAAGGAUGCUCACGAGUGGGAGCAUAUUUCAUGAAUGAAUGAGACCAAUCUGGUAUGGAAGGUACAUAUAAAGAAGCGGAUCGAUCCGGCACACGGAUAACUGACUUAUGCAUUGAAGGCGAGGCGUGAAGGAAGAGGGUUCAAGUACUAAGAAAUCGGAAGGCUCACAGGAUCGAGGUAAAUACUCAAUUUAGGCGACUUGGAGAAUUGGAGCGAGCACAUGUUCAUGAUAUGUCAUACCAAACGCUUCCGCUAGUUGCACUUAUGUUUUGGGUCAAAUUUCCAUUUUGUACAACUUGUUAGUAGUCGUAUAUUUUAAAACUUGUUGCCUUUGUUUUCGGUAGUAUUAUGUCAAACGGAUCAUAAGAUGUUAAUUAGUUUGAUUAUGUUCAAAACAGGGGCAUGCUCGUUUUUGGACGGGUCAUGCCCAAAUUUUGUAAAAAUUAUGCAUCAAGUUGGUACUUUUGAUGUCUUUAAGUUACUCUUGUAAGACAUUCUAUAAUUACGCAAAAAGGGACAUUACAAGUGGACCUCUUCUGAAUCCAUCUAAUUUUUCUAACAUGGCGGUGAAAAUAAGUUAUCGAUCACAUGGGCAUUUAUACAACACAAGAAAAAUAAUUUUGGACGUAGCUUAUCGAAUAAUAAACUUGGAUCCACAAAUCCAAUUUGGGUCUAGUCAAAUAAACGUUCAUGAACAUGAAGUGCAAGUGAACAUGAGAUGGUCCAGUGCUCCAUUCGACCCAGGUGGAACAAUUAUAGCCCAACUCUAGCAUUCGAUGAUGCAGUUGAUUUCUUAGGUAUGUUUGUUACAAUGCAGUAUUAUACUCAUGGUUGCAAAAGUCGCUAAAUUGUUUAUUGUUAAAAUGAUUUCUUAAAUUUGUUACUUGGUUUUUUUCUUUUCUUAACGGCAUAACUGUUUGAGUAAUUUUUAAUGACUUUGGUAUGUUUUAUAGAUUUGUUAUAUUAACUAGGUCAACAAUUCCCAUCAUUGAUAAGAGCAAGGAAGAAGCAAAUGACACGUAAUUUUUUCUUUCUUUUUUUUUUUCAAUUGCUUGGGUCUGUUCUUCCCAAAUUGAGAAAUUUUCUUAUUAUAUUCUUAGAUUUGUUAUAUUAACUAGGCCAACAAUUCCCAUCAUUGAUGAGAGCUAGGAAGAAGCAAAUGACACGUAAUUUUUUUUUUCAAUUGCUAGGGCCUGUUCCUCCCAAAUUGAGAAAUUUUCUAAUUAUAUUCUAAGAGAUUUGAUAUAAUAAGUGACAUUUCAAUUUCAGGACAUGGAUUCAUGUUUAUCAUCUUAUUUUUGAGACAAGUCAUCGAUUUAAUGCAGAUAGUGUCUUCUUCUCGAAGUGGCAUUUCGUCGAACAACUUCAGGUAUAUGUUAGAAUGACACUCAAAUUGGUCAAAAACAACUAUUGAACCUUCGAGACUGAUAGAUUUCUAAGUGAUGGCUUUCCAAGAUGUUAGAGCACAUUUUUUUGCAGAUAUGGAAUCUGAGAUCUCAAGUGAAGUUUACCAUUCUCUGCGCUUGCGCAAGAGCUCUAAGCCACCUAUUAGUUGAAAAGGCAAAUUUGUUGUGUAGAUCUUGUUGGUUCUGUGCGUGUUCACAAGUCAGGUGUAAAGAUGGAAGCCACAACGAUAUAAUGCGUAGAGAGCAUGCGGGUGUUCAUGAAACAUUCCACACAUAUUCGCUUUUGUACAUUGUUUCUUGGUGUCUUAUUUGAGCCGACUAUCUGUGUUUUUUAUGUUUUAGUAAUCAACAAUUCACUUAGAGACUUCAUGCAAUCUAAGUUGUUGAAAUUGUAUCCAACCUUUCUUUUUUAUUUUAGGCAUAUUUUACAUGUUG
rnacentral:lncRNA from 1 species